AAGCUCGUAGUUGAAUUUCGGGGUUAGUAGGUUGGUCAUGCCUCUGGUAUGUACUGGUCUCACUGAUUCCUCCUUCCUUAUGAACCGUAAUGCCAUUAAUUUGGUGUUGCGGGGAAUUUGGACGGUUACUUUGAAAAAAUUAGAGUGUUUAAAGCAAGCUAACGCUUGAAUACAUUAGCAUGGAAUAAUGAAAUAGGACGUUCGAUCUUAUUUUGUUGGUUUCUUAGGAUUGACGUAAUGAUUAAUAGGGAUAGUUGGG
rnacentral:rRNA from 1 species